GACGAACGCUGGCGGCGUGCUUAACACAUGCAAGUCGAACGGAAAGGCCCUGCUUUUGUGGGGUGCUCGAGUGGCGAACGGGUGAGUAACACGUGAGUAACCUGCCCUUGACUUUGGGAUAACUUCAGGAAACUGGGGCUAAUACCGGAUAGGAGCUCCUGCUGCAUGGUGGGGGUUGGAAAGUUUCGGCGGUUGGGGAUGGACUCGCGGCUUAUCAGCUUGUUGGUGGGGUAGUGGCUUACCAAGGCUUUGACGGGUAGCCGGCCUGAGAGGGUGACCGGCCACAUUGGGACUGAGAUACGGCGCAGACUCCUACGGGAGGCAGCAGUGGGCAAUAGUGCACAAUGGGCGGAAGCCUGAUGCAGCAACGCCGCGUGCGGGAUGACGGCCUUCGGGUUGUGAACCGCUUUCGCCUGUGACGAAGCGGGAGUGACGGUAAUGGGUAAAGAAGCACCGGCUAACUCCGUG
rnacentral:rRNA from 1 species